rnacentral:rRNA from 1 species
GAUGAACGCUGGCGGCGUGCCUAAUACAUGCGAGUCGAGCGAACGGACGAGAAGCUUGCUUCUCUGAUGUUAGCGGCGGACGGGUGAGUAACACGUGGAUAACCUACCUAUAAGACUGGGAUAACUUCGGGAAACCGUAGCUAAUACCGGAUAAUAUUUUGAACCGCAUGGUUCAAAAGUGAAAGACGGUCUUGCUGUCACUUAUAGAUGGAUCCGCGCUGCAUUAGCUAGUUGGUAAGGUAACGGCUUACCAAGGCAACGAUGCAUAGCCGACCUGAGAGGGUGAUCGGCCACACUGGAACUGAGACACGGUCCAGACUCCUACGGGAGGCAGCAGUAGGGAAUCUUCCGCAAUGGGCGAAAGCCUGACGGAGCAACGCCGCGUGAGUGAUGAAGGUCUUCGGAUCGUAAAACUCUGUUAUUAGGGAAGAACAUAUGUGUAAGUAACUGUGCACAUCUUGACGGUACCUAAUCAGAAAGCCACGGCUAACUACGUGC